GGAUCAUUAGCGAUAAAAACAAGACUGUUGCUGGCCUCUUUCAAUGAGAGGCAUGUGCACGUCUUGUCCUUACUCUCUACAUACUACACCUGUGCACCCAUUGUAGGUCGCUUGCAAGAGCGUAUCUAUGUUUCUGUACAUCCUUUUUUAUUACAAGGCCAGAAUGUGAUCUAGAUAGGUCGACCUGAUUUCGGUCGGGAAGACUGUCUAAUGAAACAUGUAUACUAUACAACUUUCAGCAAUGGAUCUCUUGGUUCUCGCAUCGAUGAAGAACGCAGCGAACUGCGAUAAGUAAUGUGAAUUGCAGAUUUUCAGUGAAUCAUCGAAUCUUUGAACGCACCUUGCGCUCCUUGGUACUCCGAGGAGCAUGCCUGUUUGAGUGUCAUUUGAAUUCUCAACCAUGUCUUGAUGAAGUGUCGAGGCAUGGCUUGGAUGAGUGGAGGUUGCUGGCUAACCCAAGUCGGCUCUUCUGAAAAGCAUUAGCAAAGGGAUGACUAGUCUUUGACUUGCAUGAACCUUCUGGCGUGAUAAGUGAUUUGAUCGUCGUCGUUUGUUGAUGCAUACAAAAAGUCUUUGGACGAACAUGUCUUGCUUCUAAUGAGAUAUACAUGCCAUUUAUUGGAGAGGAAGACAUCUGUGCUUUGAAAAAAGUGUGCCAUUGUGAUUAGUUCUUGCCAACUCAUAUUGGGGUUGGUUGGAAUGAAACGCAGUAGGGGGGCGCACUUGUAGUAAAGGAAGUCGGAUUGAUCCUUGAAAAAUGAAUGUCGAGUUGACCAUUUGACCUCAAAUCAGGUAGGACUACCCGCUGAACUUAAGCAUAUCAAUAAGCGGAGGAAAAGAAACUAACAAGGAUUCCCCUAGUAACUGCGAGUGAAGCGGGAAAAGCUCAAAUUUUGAAUCUGGUGGUCCUUGUGGUCAUCCGAAUUGUAAUCUAGAGAAGCGUUUACCGCGCUGGACCGUGUACAAGUCUCCUGGAAGGGAGCGUCAUAGAGGGUGAGAAUCCCGUCUUUGACACGGACUGCCAGGGCUUUUGUGUAGCGCUCUCGACGAGUCGAGUUGUUUGGGAAUGCAGCUCAAAAUGGGUGGUAAAUUCCAUCUAAAGCUAAAUACAGGCGAGAGACCGAUAGCGAACAAGUACCGUGAGGGAAAGAUGAAAAGAACUUUGAAAAGAGAGUUAAACAGUACGUGAAAUUGCUGAAAGGGAAACGCUUGAUGUCAGUCGCGUCAAUGGGGGAUCAACCUUGCAUUCGUGCUGGGCGUAAUUCCUGGUUGACGGGUCAGCAUCAGUUUUGAUUCCAUCGUACAAGGGUGAAGGGAAUGUGGCACUCUUAGGAGUGUGUUAUAGACUUUCAUCGUAUGCGGUGGUCGGGACUGAGGAACGCUGCACAGACUUACU
rnacentral:rRNA from 2 species